UACGUAGGUGACAAGCGUUGUCCGGAUUUACUGGGCGUAAAGAGCGCGCAGGCGGUCGAUCAAGUCGAGUGUGAAAGCCCCCGGCUCAACUGGGGAGGGUCAUUCGAUACUGGUCGACUCGAAGGCAGGAGAGGGUAGUGGAAUUCCCGGUGUAGUGGUGAAAUGCGUAGAUAUCGGGAGGAACACCAGUGGCGAAGGCGACUACCUGGCCUGUUCUUGACGCUGAGGCGCGAAAGCUAGGGGAGCAAACGGG
rnacentral:rRNA from 1 species